ACAGCAACAUUCUCCAACAACUGUUGUGCUGAAAGAGAAGAAGCAUUCUUGUAGUCAGCAUAGACUUCAGAUUGUGGAGCCAGUGGAUUGGAUGUUGGCCUGUUGGGAUCCUGCAUGGGCAAAGGAUAGUAUUUACAACCCAUUCAUUUUGGCAAUUGCUAGGUGUUAGGAUUGUUUUAAGAGGACAAAGCUGGAUUUGGGAAAUACACUAGUACAGAGAAUUACAGAUCAGUACCUCUUUCACAAUCACAGGAUCUUGAUCCUUCUUUUUCACUUUCACUUUAUUCCUCUUCACAAUUAUCUCAUUUCCUUGCCAUAUAAUUUCGGGAGGCCCAUCUUCUACAUAUUCCCACUCGACAUCUUCAUCUG
rnacentral:lncRNA from 1 species